GAUGAAGAACGCCGCGAAAUGCGAUAAGUAAUGUGAAUUGCAGAAUUCAGUGAAUCAUCGAAUCUUUGAACGCACAUUGCGCCCCUUGGUAUUCCGAGGGGCAUGCCUGUUCGAGCGUCAUUUUGACCACUCCCGCUUGCGGGGUCUUGGGCCUUCGCCUCUGGGCGGGCCUUAAAAUCAGUGGCGGUGCCGUCCGGCUCUAAGCGUAGUAAAUCUCCUCGCUAUAGGGUUCCGGAGGGAUGCUGGCCAACAACCCCCAACUUUUAAGGUUGACCUCGGAUCAGGUAGGGAUACCCGCUGAACUUAAGCAUAUCAAUAAGCGGAGGA
rnacentral:misc_RNA from 1 species